UAACACAUGCAAGUCGAGCGCGUGUAGCAAUACACGAGCGGCAGACGGGAGAGUAACACGUGGGAACGUACCCUUCGGUUCGGAAUAACCCAGGGAAACUUGGACUAAUACCGGAUACGUCCGAAAGGAGAAAGAUUUAUCGCCGAAGGAUCGGCCCGCGGCUGAUUAGCUAGUUGGUGAGGUAACGGCUCACCAAGGCGACGAUCGGUAGCUGGUCUGAGAGGAUGAUCAGCCUCACUGGGACUGAGACACGGCCCAGACUCCUACGGGAGGCAGCAGUGGGGAAUAUUGGACAAUGGGCGCAAGCCUGAUCCAGCCAUGCCGCGUGGGUGAUGAAGGCCCUAGGGUUGUAAAGCCCUUUCGGCGGGGAAGAUAAUGACGGUACCCGCAGAAGAAGCCCCGGCUAACUUCGUGCCAGCAGCCGCGGUAAUACGAAGGGGGCUAGCGUUGCUCGGAAUCACUGGGCGUAAAGCGCACGUAGGCGGAUCGUUAAGUCGGAGGUGAAAUCCUGGAGCUCAACUCCAGAACUGCCUUCGAUACUGGCGAUCUUGGAGUCCGGGAGAGGUGAGUGGAACUCCGAGUGUAGAGGUGAAAUUCG
rnacentral:rRNA from 1 species